ACGUAGGUGGCAAGCGUUGUCCGGAUUUACUGGGUGUAAAGGGCGUGCAGCCGGGUCUGCAAGUCAGAUGUGAAAUCCAUGGGCUCAACCCAUGAACUGCAUUUGAAACUGUGGAUCUUGAGUGUCGGAGGGGCAAUCGGAAUUCCUAGUGUAGCGGUGAAAUGCGUAGAUAUUAGGAGGAACACCAGUGGCGAAGGCGGAUUGCUGGACGAUAACUGACGGUGAGGCGCGAAAGUGUGGGGAGCAAACAG
rnacentral:rRNA from 1 species